rnacentral:rRNA from 1 species
UCCAGACUCCUACGGGAGGCAGCAGUGGGGAAUAUUGCACAAUGGGGGAAACCCUGAUGCAGCGACGCCGCGUGAGCGAAGAAGUACCUCGGUAUGUAAAGCUCUAUCAGCAGGGAAGAAAGUGACAGUACCUGACUAAGAAGCCCCGGCUAACUACGUGCCAGCAGCCGCGGUAAUACGUAGGGGGCAAGCGUUGUCCGGAUUCACUGGGCGUAAAGGGAGCGUAGACGGCGACGCAAGUCUGGAGUGAAAGCCCGGGGCUCAACCCCGGGACUGCUCUGGAAACUGCGUCGCUGGAGUACGGGAGGGGCAGGCGGAAUUCCUGGUGUAGCGGUGAAAUGCGUAGAUAUCAGGAGGAACACCGGCGGCGAAGGCGGCCUGCUGGACCGUGACUGACGUUGAGGCUCGAGAGCGUGGGGAGCAAACAGGAUUAGAUACCCUCGUAAAG